rnacentral:rRNA from 1 species
UAAGACUAAAUUUAUGUGUCUUGCCUGGGUACUACGAACACAUGUUUAAAACCCAAAGAACUUGGCGGUGCUAUAAUCCAACUAGGGGAACCUGUCCCUUGAUUCGAUAACCCACGAAAAUCUUACUUACCUUAGAUGUUAUUAUCAGUUUAUAUACCGUCGUCUAGCCGGCCUUGCCGAGAGAUAAAAAGCUGGCAAAAGAGGUUUCUCCCUAAAAAGACAGAUAAAGGUGUAGCCAAUAGGUAAAGGGAAGGAUGUGUUACAAUUAAUAACUUGAUAAUGGAAUUCUAAUGAAAUUUUAGGAGGAAAGAGGACUUAGAAGUAAUCUUUUAGUAAACACUAGGGGGUGAAUUAUUAGGCUCUAU